ACUGCUCAGUAACACGUGGUCAAGCUAACCUAUGGACGUGGAUAACCUCGGGAAACUGAGAAUAAACCGCGAUAGAUCAUGAUGCUUGGAAUGGCUUAUGGUCGAAAUAGUUUACUGCCGUAGGAUGCGACUGCGGCCUAUCAGUUUGUUGGUGAGGUAAUGGCCCACCGAGACUAUUACAGGUACGGGCUCUGAGAGGAGAAGCCCGGAGAUGGGUACUGAGACACGGACCCAGGCCCUAUGGGGCGCAGCAGGCGAGAAACCUUAGCAAUGUGCGAAAGCACGACUGGGUUAGUCCGAGUGAUUCCUGCUAAAGGAAUCUUUUACCGGUCCUAAAAGCACCGGCGAAUAAGGGGUGGGCAAGUCUGGUGUCAGCCGCCGCGGUAAUACCAGCACCUCGAGUGAUCAGGACGUUUAUUGGGCCUAAAGCAUCCGUAGCUGGCUUUGCAAGUCUCCGGUUAAAUCAACCUGCUCAACAGAUUGGCCGCUGGAGAUACUACAAGGCUAGGGAGUGGGAGAGGCAGACGGUAUUCGGGGGGUAGGGGUAAAAUCCUCUGAUCCUCUGAGGACCACCAGUGGCGAAGGCGGUCUGCCAGAACACGUUCGACAGUGAGGGAUGAAAGCUGGGGGAGCAAACCGGAUUAGAUACCCGGGUAGUCCCAGCUGUAAACGAUGCAAACUCGGUGAAGCAUUGGCUUAAUGCUAAUGCUGUGCCGCAGGGAAGCCGUUAAGUUUGCCGCCUGGGAAGUACGGUCGCAAGAUUGAAACUUAAAGGAAUUGGCGGGGGAGCACCACAAGGGGUGAAGCCUGCGGUUCAAUUGGAUUCAACGCCGGG
rnacentral:rRNA from 1 species